AUGUGUUUGGUAAGGAGGGCUCUGUUCUGGAUGCUCAGGUUAAUAAUCCCCAUGCCACCUUUAUCUUUAGGCCUACAAACUAGAGGCCAUGCUGCCAAGGAUUGUCUGGGAGUGUCUGAGGCACCAGCUUUUGUCCUACAAAAAUGCAGGAAGAGUAGGGCCAAGAAAAUAAAACCUAGGAUAUGGUACAAUGAAAAACUUGAGCAACCACAUCAGCAGUUGUGUCUACACAUUUGCUUCAAGAAUCAACAACAAUUCAGAGAAGCAUUGUUGAGCUUGCACAUUACACAUGCAAGAAAUUUCAGGUACCACAGAAACUCAGAUAAAAGGAUAAUUGCAUGUUGCAAACAUGAGAAGUCACAGUUCUGCAUAGUUGCUGCAGUUAUCAAAGGGGAAAAUACAUUUGCUAUUAAGAAGAUGAGGCUGCAACACACAUGCCCUAGCAGUACAAAGUCAUCUAGGGUUAGUGCAAAGUGGCUUGCAAAGACCUAUGAGUCAUUGUUCAGAUCUGAUCCAAGCACUAGCAUAGCCACUAUGAUUGACAACUGCCAGGAGAACUAUGGUGUUGAUGUGCCCAGGCACAUGGCCUAUAGGGCCAGGAACCUUGUUUUGGAAGUUGUAUUAGGAGAGCACAAGCAGAGUAUCCCAGGUUGA
rnacentral:rRNA from 1 species